GUAGAAAAAACGCGACAAUUGUUUUAACGUAAAAAGGCUCACAAUUAGCUAAGAGUAUUUCGGUCUGUUGUCUAUCGCAAACCCUAGGUGAUGUCUGGGACGUACAAUCAAGGCGGCAGCGGCGAUGGUGCGCCUAUUCCGUCGUACGGUGGUGAUGGAUACGGAGGAGGUGGAGGUUAUGGAGGUCGCAGUGCCUCUGGCGGAGGUGGAUACGGCGGACGCGGUGGUUACGGUGGCGGCGGCGGUAGAGGAAAUCAAGGCGGUGGUGGUGGAUAUGGUGAUCGCGGUGGAAGAGGAGGUGGCGGCGGCGGGAGAGGUGGUGGUGGUGGUGGUAGAGAUGGUGGCGGCAGAGAUGGUGAUUGGCGUUGCCCUAACCCAAGUUGUGGGAACGUGAACUUUGCAAGGAGACUUGAAUGUAACAAGUGUGGUGCACCUGCUCCUUCUGGCACCGGUGACCGAGGAGGUGGCCGAGGUGCCAGUGAUCGUGGUGGUGGUCGUGAUAGUGGUAGGAGCUACGAGAGUAGUAGAUAUGAUGGUGGCAGUAGGAGCGGUGGUGGUGGUGGCUCUUACGGUAGUGAUAGUCAACAUAGGGGUAAUGGUUCUUACGGUCAGGGUCCUCCACCUCCUUUGGCGGCUAUUCCAUCCUACGAUGGUUCGGGCAGUUACCCUCCUCCACCCAUGGGGUAUGGAAUGGAAGCAGUUCCCCCGCCUUCAAGCUAUGCCGGUGGUCCACCUUCGUAUGGUGGUCCCACAGGGGGUUAUGGCGGUGAUGCACCGAGCACUGGUGGUCGGGGUGGUAGAGGUGGUGGCUACGAUGGUGGUAGUGCUCCUCGACGCCAGGAACCUAGUUAUGAAGAUGCACCUGCUGAAAAAGUCAAGCAGUGCGACGAGAAUUGUGAUGAAACUUGUGAUAAUGCCAGAAUAUAUAUCAAUAAUUUACCUCCGGAUGUGACAACCGAUGAACUCAAGGAUCUCUUUGGUGGCAUUGGACAAGUUGGAAGAAUCAAGCAGAAGCGGGGUUACAAAGAUCAGUGGCCAUAUAACAUCAAGAUUUACACUGAUGAGAAGGGAAAGAACAAAGGUGACGCCUGCCUGGCUUAUGAAGAUCCUAGCGCAGCACACUCGGCAGGCGGCUUUUUCAACAAUUAUGAAAUGAGGGGGAACAAGAUUAGUGUAACGAUGGCAGAGAAGUCUGCGCCUAAAGCUCCUGCUUUUGACCAGAGAGGCGGUGGUAGAGGAGGAGGAGGUGGCUAUGGUGGUGGUGGGGGAGACAGAAGAAGAGAUAACUAUGGUUCAGGACCAGACAGAAACCACCAUGGAGGAAACCGUUCUCGUCCGUAUUGAGAGAAAGCGCUGAAUCAAUGAAUCAGCUGUUAUGUAUUCUAAGAGUUUGAUUGUUGACGGUUUUGGGAAUUUUAGUUAAAUGUUGCAUUUUGAUGAGGAAAAUGUUCUAUAAAUCAUCAUAUAUUGGAGAUACAAACAAACAAAAGAGAAGGGAGUGGAAAACUACCUCCAAAAUCCAUUGCAAAUUGGUGGGUAAGAUAGGGUUCAUGAUGAUUUCAGGUGAGUGCAUUCAUCUUCUUUCACUUCCCCUUUCUACUGCACACAUCCCUUUGUCAUUUCUCUUCUAUUCAACAUAGACAAACUAGUCAUAUGCUCCAUCUUGUAAUAUUCAACUCAUUUAGGCAAACAUACAAUUCGUGAAGCUAUUAUUCUUUUCCUUCUUUCUAUUAUAGCACAUAUGUUCCAUGACAAACGGCAGGAGUGGGGGCUCAGCUAGGCACUCGUGUCUGAUCCGUGGAACCUGCAGUAUGCUUUGAAAUUUCAAAGACCAGCUUGAUGAAUCUAGUGCUACCGAGAUCCGGUUUUUUUUUGUAAGACCCGUGAGGCUAUAGCUGGCUCCGAGUAUUUACAAACUAGUGGCGGUUUUAGGUCAAUAUAAGUAGUUCCAAAGAGAGGGUAUCUCGUCAAGUCUUUUAGAUGCGUCUUGAUACGACAAUAGCCAAUUGGGAUAUUGUUGAUGUCUGAGUUAGACCUGUUUGAUAUUUCCUAUAGUUGCCGACAUGUUCUGAAAGAAUAAAAGGAUCUUUAGUCAUUUGUUUAUUACUUUUGUUAUUUGUUUUUACUAGUCGUCUAAAUUUGUUAGUUGAUAGAAUCCAUCGUAACUGGAACUGCUUAUGUUGAAAGUGUAAAUUCUACCAACAAUAAAAAAACGUAAUGGAUUCCCUUAUUUUGUGA